rnacentral:rRNA from 1 species
GGCUCAGCCUGAACGCUGGCGGCGUGGCUAAGACAUGCAAGUCGCACGGGUGUAGCAAUACAUCAGUGGCGAACGGGUGAGUAAUGUAUCGCUAACGUGCCCCGAGGUCUGGGAUAGCCGGGGGAAACUCCGGGUAAUACCAGAUGAGACCACGGAAAGGCAUCUUUCUGUGCUCAAAGGCGCAAGACGCCUCGGGAGCGGGCGAUAUCGUAUCAGCUAGUUGGUGAGGUAACGGCUCACCAAGGCGACGACGCGUAGCCGGACUGAGAGGUUGACCGGCCACAUUGGGACUGAGACACUGCCCAGACUCCUACGGGGGGCUGCAGUAACGAAUAUUGGGCAAUGGGCGCAAGCCUGACCCAGCGACGCCGCGUGGAGGACGAAGUCCUUCGGGAUGUAAACUCCUGUCAGGGGAAAGAAAGUUCUGAUCUACCCCAGAGGAAGAGGCGGCUAACUCUGUGCCAGCAGCCGCGGUAAGACAGAGGCCUCAAGCGUUAGGCGGAAUCACUGGGCUUAAAGCGUGCGUAGGCGGAUGCCUAAGUGCCUUGUGAAAUUUCACGGCUCAACCGUGGAAUUGCUGGGCAUACUGGGUGUCUUGAGCCACCUAGGGGCAGCCGGAACUAACGGUGGAGCGGUGAAAUGCGUAGAUAUCGUUAGGAACGCCAAUGGUGAAAACAGGCUGCUGGGGGUGUGCUGACGCUGAGACACGAAAGCCAGGGGAGCAAACGGGAUUAGAUACCCCGGUAGUCCUGGCCGUAAACGAUGUCCACUAGAUCGCAGCGUCUCUGACGGCGUUGCGGUCGAAGCCAAAGUGCUAAGUGGACCGCCUG